rnacentral:lncRNA from 10 species
AUAAAAGCUAGCAGAAGAAUGUGAAAGACUAGACUGGUUUAGUCUUCUGGCCUACAUCUUUCCCCGAUGCUGGAUGCUUCCUGCCCUUGAACUUCAGACUCCAAGUUCUUCAGGUUUCAGACUCGGACUGGCUUCCUUGCUCCUCAGCUUGCAGACGGUCUAUUGUGGGACCUCACCUUUGUGAUCAUGUCUUAACUGAGGAAUCCAUUGUGUGCUGAAAACAAUGCAAAUCUCUGAAGAUAAAAAAAAGAGAGAGAGAAUGACACAGCUUCUGUACUCAAUGAGAGAAAGGAUUACAAGGUGUGAUGAGAGUUCCUGACUAACUCAACUAGAGAAGAAAGGAGGUUGGGGAGGCCACCUCAGCGGCAAUGAUAAUUGCCCUGAGUUUCUAAAGCAGAGUUAUUAUGAGGGGGAGAAUGGUGAUAUGAUUAAAGACAAGAGUCCUAUCCUGAGAAGUUCAUAGCUAAAAAUAAAGAGGGUGCCAGGUGUGAAUUCAGAAGUUUGGACCUAUUGGUAACAUGACUUGUAGAUACGCUUGCUAUAAAGGCACACAGAAUAAGAUCAGAAGAAUGAUGUGUAGAGAUGGUUGUGGAAGACAGAAGCAGAAGGUCAACAGGCAAUUGGCAAGACACCAGAAAGAAAUCUAAAAGGCAUACACUUAGUUCAGAAUUAUAGCACAUCUGGGAAUAAAAAAAAAAGAAAACAUGGUGAUGUCUCAAAACUGAUAUCAAAAUAAAUCUCAUUAACUGAAGAAAAUAACUUGAUCUUAAAUCUGUUUGCUAACUAUGAUUUUCAACAAAAGACUUCUCAGGAAGUAAUUUUACUCAGAUCCUUAUAGGUUGAAAGAAUUAAAAAUAGAAACUUUUCCUUCU